UUCGAUCUCGAAUGACUUAUCUUAAAUCAUCCUCAGCCGACCUAUUUCAGAUUAUUUGAAGAUUAACGUGCACACUACGGUCUCCAUGAUCUCGAUUUUGAACGAUCUGCUUUAGUUCGUACUUAGCCGACCAAUCUCAACCAGUGUGAAGACAAGCACCUGCUCCCUGAACCUCAAUACCUCGGCCAUGGACGAUUUAUCGGAGCUCGUCCAUAGCCAAGCUAAUCUCCGCAUC
rnacentral:lncRNA from 1 species